GUACGGGAGGCAGCAGUGGGGAAUCUUGCGCAAUGGUCGAAAGACUGACGCAGCGACGCCGCGUGUGGGAGGACGCCUUUCGGGGUGUAAACCACUGUUGCCCGGGACGAACUUCUGGUUUCGACCAGAUUGACGGUACCGGGUGAGGAAGCACCGGCUAACUCCGUGCCAGCAGCCGCGGUAAUACGGAGGGUGCGAGCGUUGUCCGGAAUCAUUGGGCGUAAAGGGCGCGUAGGUGGCCCGGUCAGUUCGUGGUGAAAGCGCGGGGCUCAACCCUGCGUCGGCCAUGAAUACUGCCGCGGCUGGAGCACUGUAGAGGCAGGCGGAAUUCCGGGUGUAGCGGUGGAAUGCGUAGAGAUCCGGAAGAACACCGGUGGCGAAGGCGGCCUGCUGGGCAGUUGCUGACACUGAGGCGCGACAGCGUGGGGAGCAAACAGGAUUAGAUACCCUGGUAGU
rnacentral:rRNA from 1 species